rnacentral:rRNA from 1 species
AGAGUUUGAUCCUGGCUCAGGAUGAACGCUGGCGGCGUGCCUAACACAUGCAAGUCGAGCGAUUCUCUUCGGAGAAGAGCGGCGGACGGGUGAGUAACGCGUGGGUAACCUGCCCUGUACACACGGAUAACAUACCGAAAGGUAUGCUAAUACGGGAUAACAUAAGAAAUUCGCAUGUUUUUCUUAUCAAAGCUCCGGCGGUACAGGAUGGACCCGCGUCUGAUUAGCUAGUUGGUGAGGUAACGGCUCACCAAGGCGACGAUCAGUAGCCGACCUGAGAGGGUGAUCGGCCACAUUGGAACUGAGACACGGUCCAAACUCCUACGGGAGGCAGCAGUGGGGAAUAUUGCACAAUGGGCGAAAGCCUGAUGCAGCAACGCCGCGUGAGCGAUGAAGGCCUUCGGGUCGUAAAGCUCUGUCCUCAAGGAAGAUAAUGACGGUACUUGAGGAGGAAGCCCCGGCUAACUACGUGCCAGCAGCCGCGGUAAUACGUAGGUGGCAAGCGUUGUCCGGAUUUAUUGGGCGUAAAGCGAGCGCAGGCGGUUUCUUAAGUCUGAUGUGAAAGCCUUCGGCUCAACCGAAGAAGUGCAUCGGAAACUGGGAAACUUGAGUGCAGAAGAGGACAGUGGAACUCCAUGUGUAGCGGUG